GGAUAAGACAUGCAAGUCGAACGGGACAUUGUGAGUAGCAAUACAAGCAGUGUCUAGUGGCGAACGGGUGCGUAACACGUGGAUACAUUCCGGGAAGCGGGGGAUAGCCCAGGGAAACUUGGAUUAAUACCGCAUGUGAUCGAAAGAUCAAAAGACGGGGACCGCAAGGCCUGUCACUUCCCGAUUGGUCCGCGGCCUAUCAGCUAGUUGGCGGGGUAAAAGCCCACCAAGGCUACGACGGGUAGCUGGUCUUAGAGGACGACCAGCCACACUGGAACUGAGACACGGUCCAGACACCUACGGGUGGCAGCAGUCGAGAAUCUUUCACAAUGGGGGCAACCCUGAUGGAGCGACGCCGCGUGGAGGAUAAGGUCUUCGGAUUGUAAACUCCUGUCAUGCGAGAAC
rnacentral:rRNA from 1 species